GACCAUCUCCUAAGGCUAAAUACUCUCUAGUGACCGAUAGUGAACCAGUACCGUGAGGGAAAGGUGAAAAGCACCCCGGAAGGGGAGUGAAAUAGAACCUGAAACCGUGUGCUUACAAGUAGUCAGAGCCCGUUAAUGGGUGAUGGCGUGCCUUUUGUAGAAUGAACCGGCGAGUUACGAUUUGAUGCAAGGUUAAGCAGUAAAUGUGGAGCCGUAGCGAAAGCGAGUCUGAAUAGGGCGUUUAGUAUUUGGUCGUAGACCCGAAACCAGGUGAUCUACCCUUGGUCAGGUUGAAGUUCAGGUAACACUGAAUGGAGGACCGAACCGACUUACGUUGAAAAGUGAGCGGAUGAACUGAGGGUAGCGGAGAAAUUCCAAUCGAACCUGGAGAUAGCUGGUUCUCUCCGAAAUAGCUUUAGGGCUAGCCUCAAGUGAUGAUUAUUGGAGGUAGAGCACUGUUUGGACGAGGGGCCCCUCUCGGGUUACCGAAUUCAGACAAACUCCGAAUGCCAAUUAAUUUAACUUGGGAGUCAGAACAUGGGUGAUAAGGUCCGUGUUCGAAAGGGAAACAGCCCAGACCACCAGCUAAGGUCCCAAAAUAUAUGUUAAGUGGAAAAGGAUGUGGCGUUGCCCAGACAACUAGGAUGUUGGCUUAGAAGCAGCCAUCAUUUAAAGAGUGCGUAAUAGCUCACUAGUCGAGUGACACUGCGCCGAAAAUGUACCGGGGCUAAACAUAUUACCGAAGCUGUGGAUUGUCCUUUGGACAAUGGUAGGAGAGCGUUCUAAGGGCGUUGAAGCAUGAUCGUAAGGACAUGUGGAGCGCUUAGAAGUGAGAAUGCCGGUGUGAGUAGCGAAAGACGGGUGAGAAUCCCGUCCACCGAUUGACUAAGGUUUCCAGAGGAAGGCUCGUCCGCUCUGGGUUAGUCGGGUCCUAAGCUGAGGCCGACAGGCGUAGGCGAUGGAUAACAGGUUGAUAUUCCUGUACCACCUAUAAUC
rnacentral:rRNA from 1 species